rnacentral:ncRNA from 1 species
GAACUUAAAACCUCCUUUAAACACAAAGGCUUGGUCCCGACCUUAAAAUCAACUUUUACUUAACUUACACAUGCAAGUCUCCGCACCCCCGUGAAAAUGCCCUAACCCCCUUAAAACAAGGAAGAGGAGCCGGUAUCAGGCACAACAAUUUACCCAAGACACCUAGCAACGCCACACCCACAAGGGUCCUCAGCAGUGAUAAACAUUGAUUAUAAGUGCAAACUUGACUCAGCUAAAGUAAACAGAGUCGGCAAAUAUGGUGCCAGCCGCCGCGGUUACACCACAGACUCAAAUUGAUUUCUCUCGGCAUAAAACGUGAUUUAAGUCAUUAACCCAUUGGAAUUAAACCCUCCCUAAGCUGUGACAUGCUUGAAACAGGGAAAAUCAAACACGAAAGUUACUCCAACCUUUCCACCUUGAAUUCACGAAAAUUUGGAUACAAACUAGGAUUAGAUACCCUACUAUGCCAUUUAGUAAAUUCUUACCUCAUCGCCAGGGUACUACGAGCAAAGCUUAAAACCCAAAGGACUUGACGGUACCCCACAUCCUUCUAGAGGAGCCUGUCCUAUAAUUGAUUAUCCCCGCUUAACCUCACCACUCUUAGCUUAUCAGCCUGUAUACUUCCGUCGUCAACUUACCGCGUGAGCGACCACUAGCGAGUUCAAUGCUUACUAACCAAUACGUCAGGUCAAGGUGCAGCAAAUAAAGUGGAAAAAGAUGGGCUACACUUUCUAACAUAGAAAAUACGGAAGACUACGUGAAAUCUCAUUAGAAGGCGGAUUUAGUAGUAAAAAGAAAAUAGAGUGUUCUUUUUAAUUUGGCCCUGGGGUAUGUACACACCGCCCGUCACCCUCUUCGCAAGACAAACAAUAGUAAAUAACAACCCCUAUAGCAGUAGAAGAGGCAAGUCGUAACAAGGUAAGUGUACCGGAAGGUGUACUUGGAAACGAAACAU